CAGUAGCCACGGUAAUACGGAGGGUGCAAGCGUUAAUCGGAAUUACUGGGCGUAAAGCGCACGCAGGCGGUCUGUCAAGUCGGAUGUGAAAUCCCCGGGCUCAACCUGGGAACUGCAUUCGAAACUGGCAGGCUAGAGUCUUGUAGAGGGGGGUAGAAUUCCAGGUGUAGCGGUGAAAUGCGUAGAGAUCUGGAGGAAUACCGAUGGCGAAGGCAGCCAUCUGGCCUAAUACUGACGCUGAGGUACGAAAGCAUGGGGAGCAAACAGGAUUAGAUACCCCUGUAGUCCCUGUCUCUUAUAC
rnacentral:rRNA from 1 species